rnacentral:rRNA from 1 species
UACGGAGGGGGCUAGCGUUGUUCGGAAUUACUGGGCGUAAAGCGCACAUAGGCGGCUUUGUAAGUUAGAGGUGAAAGCCCGGGGAUCAACCCCGGAAUUGCCUUUGAUACUGCAUGGCUUGAAUCCAGGAGAGGUGAGUGGAAUUCCGAGUGUAGAGGUGAAAUUCGUAGAUAUUCGGAAGAACACCAGUGGCGAAGGCGGCUCACUGGACUGGUAUUGACGCUGAGGUGCGAAAGCGUGGGGAGCAAACAGG